CAUAAAACUGAAGGGAAUUCAGUACAUAUGUCAGAUACAAAAAAAAGCAGAAGAUUUUAACUAAAACUAUAUUUUUCGGAUACGAUUUCUAUAUUUUACUCGAUGAUUCGCUUAUUUUACAGCAAACAUGAUCUCUUGAUAACUAAAUGUGAUGUGAUAAUCUGAUAACUAACAUUAAUAAAUGAACCCCAAAAAGUCGUAUAGGUUAUCGGAAAUAUGAGAAUGGAUAUAACACAAAAUAUCUGCGUUAGCAAGUCACGGCGGUCACCCAUCCAAGUAUUAACCAUGUCCUAUGUUGCUUAACUUCGGGAUCGGACGAGAACCGGGAAACUCUUUUUACGAGCCGUCUCACCGGCCUUGGUGGGGCCCGAGAGGAUGUGUGAGACUCGACCUGGGCAGGUCCCUACUCAUUAACACCACUGCGAAAGGCAUCGGCCGCUACGUUGGUGCACCCCGGAUCUGUCAGGGACAGGGCACACCAGCGACUGGCCGGUCCUGGCAAAGACCGGACUUACUCCCUCGGAGAAAGGAGGCGAUCCCGGCAAUUAGGAUCGCCCCGACGAAUGAAUAGGAUUACAUGAUCGAGCCGAUGUUGGAAUAGAAAUGCUGUCUCACUUCUUUUGGGGUAUUAGGAAUCUUCACAAGGUUCCGUGUUCGUAUUGUGGAGUCAACAGUUUAUACAUACAAUGGUGUUGCCAUACACACAUAUGUUCGUUAAAUUUUUAAUAAAUGUUUUCCGAGGCAAAAUGAAACAAUUGAUAGUUGAUUGAGUUCAUAAUAUUUUCUCUAUAGUAUUUGGUUUACCUAUAAUUAAACUCUCUGGAAUGUUUGUUACGAGUGAUGGUAGAAUUUUUCUUAUCUUUUAAUGAGCUUAGACCGUCUGAAAACACAGAAAUGCUUUAAAAAUAAUCAAAAAUUCAUUAACCCAUUGCCAAUACACCUUUGCAAAGAUAUUUUGAAUUUUGAUUUAUAUAUAUUUAUAUCACGAAUAAUCUCUGCGUGAAUAUUAUUUAACAUCAACAUUGUUUUGUAUAAAAACAAUUUACUGUUUUUUUUCACAGUACGUUAUGGUAUUGUUUUCAGAUCUACAUCUUAUAACAAAAGCACAAGCUUCAGUACUGUAUUUAUAACACUGGUCGUGCUUGUAAUGUGUUUCAAGGUUAAAUUCUAGACACUUAUUUGUUUUUGUAAACGAUUCUCGUUACGACUCUCACUAUUGUAAUAUCUAUACUAAUUCUGAUAAAAUUAAAAUUUAAAAAAAGCGUAACAGCUUCAAAUUAAUUAAGAUUAAGACCGUCACUCAUUUUAGAGAGGUAAAACAGAUAAGGUCACAAUUUAAAGAAAUUAAAAAUAAUCUCUUUGACAAAAAAAAAAAAUUGAGACUCGCUCUUUCUUAUCAAUGAAUUCAAAAGAUAUCGUUGUUAUGAUUUACCCCAAGAUUCAUUUGAACCUUUACAGAAAUAAAACCAUUAUUAGAGAAUAUGGAUGUAUUAUGCUAAUAUUGUCUACAUUCAAGCAUUAUAUAUUUACAUAUUUAUAUAAAGUAAAUUCUAUGUAUGAGUAUGUCGUACCUGUAUAGUCGUACCAGAAUCCUUUACAUAGAAAAUUGAUAGAUGAUAUAUAUUGCGCAAGUGGAAAAUAAAUUUUGUAAAGGUAAUAACUUUAUCUAACUAUUUGAUUGUUUCAUUCCUAGUAAAGUUCAUUACCAUAGAGAAGGUAAGUAGAAACAUCUUUUAAAAAAAUAAAUGUUACGCAAAUAAGACCUAUAUUUUUCGGAUUUACUACGCGUUUAAUGAGAUGUUUAUAUCUCGUCUGCCCGUGACCACGGUUGCUGAAAAGUAAUCGAAACGUCGGGAUUAUCCAGUUUUUUAAAAUAAUAGUUUUAUUUAAAUGAAUACUCGCAAAAGUCUUAGAAGUUAGAUCACAUUAAAUGUCACGUAAUUAUAAUUGUUUAGUGUUUCUUGAAAUGUUGCCCGCUGUGAUAAUAUUUACUUUAGACAUAUUUUAAUUUUAAUAAAAAUGUAUUUAUUAUAAGUGUUA